rnacentral:rRNA from 1 species
CAGGGAUGCCUUAGUACGGCGAGUGAGCGGCAAAAGCUCAAAUUUGAAAUCUGGUACCUUCGGUGCCCGAGUUGUAAUUUGGAGAGGGCAACUUUGGGGCCGUUCCUUGUCUAUGUUCCUUGGAACAGGACGUCAUAGAGGGUGAGAAUCCCGUGUGGCGAGGAGUGCGGUUCUUUGUAAAGUGCCUUCGAAGAGUCGAGUUGUUUGGGAAUGCAGCUCUAAGUGGGUGGUAAAUUCCAUCUAAAGCUAAAUAUUGGCGAGAGACCGAUAGCGAACAAGUACAGUGAUGGAAAGAUGAAAAGAACUUUGAAAAGAGAGUGAAAAAGUACGUGAAAUUGUUGAAAGGGAAGGGCAUUUGAUCAGACAUGGUGUUUUGUGCCCUCUGCUCCUUGUGGGUAGGGGAAUCUCGCAUUUCACUGGGCCAGCAUCAGUUUUGGUGGCAGGAUAAAUCCAUAGGAAUGUAGCUUGCCUCGGUAAGUAUUAUAGCCUGUGGGAAUACUGCCAGCUGGGACUGAGGACUGCGACGUAAGUCAAGGAUGCUGGCAUAAUGGUUAUAUGCCGCCCGUCUUGAACCCCGGACCA